UUACCGGGUCCGGACACACUGAGGAUUGACAGGUAUUAUAUAGCGCGCUUGCGCGUCUAUUGUUAAAUAUGCUAGUCCUUUCAUGAUUAUGUGAUAGGUGGUGCAUGGCCGUUCUUAGUUCGUGGAGUGAUCUGUCUGCUUAAUUGCGUUUCAGAUAAGGAUCUAUAUUCUUUACAGAAGUGUUGCGUUGUGCAUUUGACCCCUCGUUCGCGAGUGCGUGUCUUUUCGCGCUCGCACGCUUUUUACAUUAGGUCCUGAAAGCAACGAACGUGACCGCAACCUCUUGUUGCCUCAUCUCCCUACUUUUU
rnacentral:rRNA from 1 species